UACGUAGGGGGCAAGCGUUGUCCGGAAUCAUUGGGCGUAAAGAGCGUGUAGGCGGCCCGAUAAGUCCGCUGUGAAAGUCCAGGGCUCAACCCUGGAAUGCCGGUGGAUACUGUCGGGCUCGAAUCCGGAAGAGGUGAGUGGAAUUCCUGGUGUAGCGGUGAAAUGCGCAGAUAUCAGGAGGAACACCGGUGGCGAAGGCGGCCUUCUGGACAGUGACUGACGCUGAGACGCGAAAGCGUGGGGAGCAAACAGG
rnacentral:rRNA from 1 species